rnacentral:rRNA from 1 species
UACGUAGGGGGCAAGCGUUGUCCGGAAUCAUUGGGCGUAAAGCGCGUGUAGGCGGCCAGGUAAGUCCGUUCUGAAAGCCCGGGGCUCAACCCCGGGAGGCGGAUGGAUACUGCUUGGCUCGAGUCCGGAAGAGGCGAGUGGAAUUCCUGGUGUAGCGGUGAAAUGCGCAGAUAUCAGGAGGAACACCUAUGGCGAAGGCAGCUCGCUGGGACGGUACUGACGCUGAGACGCGAAAGCGUGGGGAGCGAACAGG